rnacentral:rRNA from 1 species
UCCGGAUUUAUUGGGCGUAAAGCGAGCGCAGGCGGUUAGAUAAGCCNGAAGUUAAAGGCAGUGGCUCAACCAUUGUAGGCUUUGGAAACUGUUUAACUUGAGUGCAGAAGGGGAGAGUGGAAUUCCAUGUGUAGCGGUGAAAUGCGUAGAUAUAUGGAGGAACACCGGUGGCGAAAGCGGCUCUCUGGUCUGUAACUGACGCUGAGGCUCGAAAGCGUGGGGAGCGAACAGGAUUAGAUACCCUGGUAGUNCACGCCGUAAACGAUGAGUGCUAGGUGUUAGGUCCUUUCCGGGACUUAGUGCCGCAGCUAACGCAUUAAGCACUCCGCCUGGGGAGUACGACCGCAAGGUUGAAACUCAAAGGAAUUGACGGGGCCCGCACAAGCGGUGGAGCAUGUGGUUUAAUUCGAAGCAACGCGAAGAACCUUACCAGGUCUUGACAUCCCGAUGCCCGCUCUAGAGAUAGAGCUUUACUUCGGUACAUCGGUGACAGGUGGUGCAUGGUUGUCGUCAGCUCGCGUCGUGAGAUGUUGGGUUAAGUCCCGCAACGAGCGCAACCCUUAUUGUUAGUUGCCAUCAUUCAGUUGGGCACUCUAGCGAGACUGCCGGUAAUAAACCGGAGGAAGGUGGGGAUGACGUCAAAUCAUCAUGCCCCUUAUGACCUGGGCUACACACGUGCUACAAUGGCUGGUACAACGAGUCGCAAGCCGGUGACGGCAAGCUAAUCUCUGAAAGCCAGUCUCAGUUCGGAUUGUAGGCUGCAACUCGCCUACAUGAAGUCGGAGUCGCUAGUAAUCGCGGAUCAGCACGCCGCGGUGAAUACGUUCCCGGGCCUUGUACACACCGCCCGUCACACCACGAGAGUUUGUAACACCCGAAGUCGGUGAGGUAACCGUAAGGAGCCAG